GCAAACCGAUGGCAUUACCAUUUCCACCAAAAAAUUGCUCAAUACAUCUUGAUUAUUCAGAGCAUGAUGUAGGAUGGCUUAGAAGGACUGUGGUUUUUAAUAAACCAUUAUAAAUAAAUGCACUCUUUGCAUGACUUUUAAAUGUCAAAAGAUCAAAUGGAUGCAUUUUGUGGAAGUCUAAUCACUGGAGUAUUAGAUCAUACAUUUUUCUAAUCAUAACCCUCAAGUUUCCAUAUUGCGAAGGAAUCCAUUUCCUGAAUGUUUUAUUUGAGUGUAUAUCUAGAAUCACUCUGCUAGUUCUUCAUGGUUCGGAUUUUGCUAUGGAUUACAUUUAUAAGUUAGGGGGUGCCAUUGUCCCCACUCUGAGCAUCUGCAUUCAGUCCUGAAUCUGUUUUUAGUUAAUAAUUAUAAAUAAACUACACGGAUGUUGGGUUGUUUCAACCCAAUUUGGGUCAAAUAUGGACUAACCCAAAUUUUUAACCCAAAAGUCGGUGUAGUCCAUACUUGACCCAAAGUUGGGUUGAAACAACCCAGCAUUUUUUAGAUCGUGUGCAUUGGUAGCUUGAAAUUAUCCAUGGUAAUUUAUUGGAUUUUGUUUAAUAUUUCAAUACAAAGCACAUUAGUGCAACUUUUGGUGCAAGCAGGAGUUUGUAAUGGUCAUCCCAUAUGUUUGAGUGUUUAAGAGUGAUUACAAUAGCAACAACAAUAUCGAUAAAAAUCAAUUAAACUUUGGUUUGACCCCAGGGACUCAUAACAUAUGACAUCCGGGCUGGCGGAGAAAUCAAUGUAUGAUGUUUCAGUUCUUGAGUGUCCUAAAGUAAUGAUGUCACACUUAGAUCAGAUUGAGCUUAAAUGGCCAAUCACAUCCAGGCAGGUUUUGGAGGUCAGAUUUUCAUUCUUAGAAAAUGUCAUGCUGUUGAAGUGUGCCAAGAAAUUGUUCAUAAUGCUCCCUACAAUCACAUCUGAACUAUUAUCCAAAAACUGCUGGAUGCCUUCAGUCCUAAUGAUAUUGUCCAUUGUUUCAGAUCUGAACAUUGUUCGGCUGUUUGAAUUGGCACAUGUUCUACUCUGAAAAUACACUGACAAGUAGACCAAGCCAUUUGGAGCAGCACCUGAGCAAGGCUGGAAAUUCAAUUACUGUGCAACACACCCAUGAGAAUUUCUGUUCUCCCCUGCAGUCGAGGUUUCUGGAAGUUUCCCAGAAGACAAAAUCCUAUUUAAAGACUUGGAAGAACAUGAAUGUGGGGGACGCUUUUGCUUGUGUCAUUGUCAUGUUUCCCUGAGCAAAACUUAUUGAAAAUUCCCAUUAUAUUUUAGCAACUGGAUUCAAAUUGUGUUCCUCCUUCAAAACAGAUAAACAAGUCUGUAUAUGCCUUGUUAGUGUGGUUCAGGCAUGCAAAAGCAGAAACAUUCCUCAAGCACCUUUUGAGUUAAGAAGAUUUUUCAAAGAUUUAUCUGCUGAUUUUUAUUUUAUCUAGAGGACAUUUUACAGGUAAGAGAUAUGCGUUUAUGCUUUCUCUUGCAGGUGGUGGGUUUAUCUGAGGUAAAUGAAAGUACAUUUGUGUGGAUUGUUGAAGUUUUUUGGCCCCUUACAUUGGCCUGCUUAACUUAAGUUGCCUGCAGUAAAAUAAAACACUCUUUCUUACUCAGACAAAAUAACACUUGAAUCAUAAUUAGUGCUCUUGCUAAGGUAAGCAACACUAUUGUUGUUAAUACUUAAGAUUAGGGAUAUGACAAAAAGACAAUUAAGGCAAAAUUAAGAUGACUUUGACAUGAACAAACCCCAAAGUAUUUUGUUUUGGUGUGUAGUUUGACCUGCACCCUCAUAAAACAAAAGCACCAGUGCAUCAUAUGUGAGACUUAUCCAAACAAACAAGAGCGUCUUCUAGACUGGAAUAUGCACAUAUGAACUUUUAUGAAACACUUAUAUAUAUUUUAAUUUUUGUAGGGAAUUCCACCUGCGUCUCAAGCCAGAUGUAAAUAGCUUCACAGAAGAUUUCAAUAUCUAGUCAGAAGAUGAAACUCAGAUGGUGGAUCUAUCUCACAUAUACUCAGGAGUACUAACAGGUAGAGUAUUUUGAAACACGUUGGCCUGGUUUUAUAGUCAGGGCUUAGACCAAUUCAGGAUUAUGCCAUAGUUCAAUUAAGUACAUUUUUUAAAAUACAUUUAAUAAUUUUUAUAAAUAUGCCUUAAACAUGGUGUGCAUCCUGAGACAAAACUAGGACACUGACAUAUUUUAAGAUCAAUCAGUGCAAGUUUCUUUCACUUGAAACAGCUCAGACCUACAUUUUAGUCUGAGACUAGGCUUAAGCCUGGUCUGUGAAAUCAGGGUUUUAAGUGUUUUGGAUGCCACAAAAUUAUUAUAUACAUUUUACUGAAAUGAAAACUGUAAAAAAAUUUUAAGAAACUGUAAGAAAACUGAAAAUCUUGUCUCAAAGAUAAGAGGGAAUCCUCAUGUCAAGGGUCAGUUUAGGGACUCCCUUACAACAGCCAAUGGGAUGUUUUACAUCAAGCCCACUGAAAGAUACACCACCUCCAACACUGACCACCAUUACAUUAUUUAUCACUAGGAUGAUGUGGGUGAGUGUCAAGUGAUCAUAAUGUAUUUCUUUUCUCACUGAGUUAAGGCUGUGAUUUAGUCCCAACCAAAUACUUUCUUGUGUUUACUUUCAAAAAUCAGUAUUUAUCACUGUUAAUAAGUGGUGUAGAAGUUGCAUGGAGGAACCAAACGUGUUUCACAUUAGAUUGAUUGUUCAAUUGAUAGAAAUAUUAUAAAUCUCAUAAAUGUGUAUAUUUCUACCACAAACUUCAGUGAUGAAUGUGAGAAGGUUGAUAAUGACCGUAAUGCAUUUACUGUUCAGCCAAGCCUUUUUUCAAUCCUGAUAAUCUUUUUUCUUUGUCAACUGACAUGGAAACGAUUGCUUUAAGUGGCCAGUCUAUAGAGGAUUAAAGAUAUGUGUCAUUUACUGUAAUAACAGUAGAUACACAGUAGAUUUUCUCAGUGUGUAAUGGAUAUUCUUUCUAAGGCCACAUUAAAAAUAUGAUAACUUU